GGAAUCGAACCCGGGACCUAUCCACUGAGCCAAACCGGUUUCGGAGCAACUGCAAUUUUUUUAUGUAAUUAUCUCUUCUUAGUUAUUAUUUAUUGAUCAGUUUUUCCAGGGCUAUGAACCAAAAUGAAUGUGACUUGAUGUGAAACUCAGUGUUUUAAUUCCUAUGGCAACAAAGUAGCUCCAACAUUAAGCAUAAGAAACAGCAGCAUCCUCCCGGAACUUGGAAGCAGAAAUCAUUAAAUUCCCAGGAGUGAACUUUUGGAACCUUUUGCAAAUGUCCAAUAUUUCACUGAGCUAUUCUGCCCCUCAGCUACCAUUGUCAGCUAUGAAACUAGUAGCCCGGAACCCCAAGAGAGCUGUAACUUCAUCUCAACUUAGCCAUGUUACCAGAAUCUAGGAAGCAACUCAAAUGUUUCUCAGCUUGGUCACCUUUUCUCAGUAGCCUUGAGGGUUCUGAGUAAAGAGAACUUGAUGUUUUAUAUGUAAAUCAUAAUACAUACAAGUCCUGGCUAACUUCAGGCUAUAUUAGGGUGCCUGAAGAGUAGUUGAGUGGGCGUUUGUGGGGAAGCAUUAGUAAGACUAGGAUGCCUGGUGAAAUUCAAUAUAAUUGAAUCAAAGUUUAGACAGGUGAGGACCACAAACAGGUCCCUUGUGGAUGUGUUGAUGCUCACAGGUAUGCAUUCAGUAUGUCCUCACUCUAAAUGCAUCUUCACUGUCUAAAUGCAUCUGCCCCACUCUGGCUGGGAUCCUUAAUCUCCAGAAUUAUCUUUCAAAAACAAGAGACUGCCACCCACUCCUGGAAACCACCUGGAAAGCAACAUUUGCAGCCUGAUGAUAUGUCUCCUCUUCAGUUUGUUCAUUGUAUUUUCAUUUGUCAUUGACUUCGUCGUGGAUUCAAUUCUGUGUCCACACCAGAGCACUAUUGGUUCUUUUUAAAGUUUAUAAAUACCCUGCCUUUUCCCCAAGUGAAUUUAAGGUAGGUUAUCAACAUAUACCUAAUAAAGUUUUUCGACUUCCAGAGCUGUGUCCCAAAUGCAAGAGGUCCUUAGGGUUUAUUGUUAAAGAAUUAUGCAAAGCAUGUGAAAUAACUAUAGAUAAGCAGGGAAAAUAAAUUUUACUUUCUGUGUUGAUCUUGCCCUGGUAUUACCAUCACAGUAAUGAUCAAGAAGUGUCUGCCACCUGAAACUGGGCAGAGCUCCUGGGCCAGCCAAAGUCAGUACAACACACCCAGGAGUGCUGUCAGCACGCCCUGGAUUUCACCACCCUGGGUGUUCACAGAGGAGGGAUGACACUAAAAGGUAUGCAGCCAAACAGUAAUUGUUAGAUGUCAUCUAUUGCUGGGAAGUAAGAUAAUGAAGUAAUUGCUUUUAUGCCACCACUUACAGACACCAUGGUUUCUCUCUGGAAAAUAACAACCCUGAAAGUGGACCAAGCCCAUACUUUAUAGCACAUGACUUUUUUUUUUUUUAGGGUUCUGCAGUGUUUAGCAUUUGAGAUGGAGCUUGGAUACAUUUCAAAGGAGCACAGCCAACUUGGCAUUACUCAGUGUGUGACCAGCCAACCCGGACCCCUUCAGAAGUCAUACAUCCUGAAGCAAUUAAGAAUGUCUAUGGGAAGAAAUAUGAAUUAAACUAGGACUGCUCUUAGCCUGACCCAUGGUGAACUUGAAUGAGUGAAAUACCCCCUGGAGAGAAAACUGCUCACUGUAUAAGAAUUUUGGGUACCCUCUGGACUCAGUGCAAUGAAGGAUCAUCUGGUGUCGUGCAAUCUACAGCAAGAACAGACUUGACUUGGAAAUACUUGUUGGCUCGUAGGGAGUCAUCUACAACUUUAACUUUGGAGGUUUCUCCUCACUCAUGAGAUGUGAACCUCAACAAAUUUAUACCAGGUUGUAGAAGAGUGAUCACUUCUAUUGUUGCUAAAAAAAGUUCUCUGCAGGAUAAAGGUUAUAUUGAGAGGCCCAAAUGAUUUCAUGUUGAAAUACAUUUUAGAAACAGUGAGUUAAACAAAGGUAAGUCUUUUUUUUUUUUUUAAGUAAAUUUUGAGGACUUAUCAAGUCUUUAACAUUCAUUAUGACUGGGUUGGGAUAAGGGACGAUGAGGAUAUAACAUGCAGUGUUUUCCAACCUUAUUUCAUAUAGAAUUUUUCUCUCCAGGUAAUCGUAGAUAUAAUAAUCAAAGUGUAAUAUGCUAAUUAGACUGGACAGCCCGAUGUCCUUCCAGACGAAGCCGGGGCUGUGAGGGCCAAGUCCUUUGCACGAAUUUCGUGCAUCGGGCUUCUAUUUGAAAUAUAAAAUGGUGCUCUCUUUGUUUAAUCUGCACUCUACUUACCUAAUAGCUCCCAGCUCCCCUUUGUCUUAAUAAAGGUUGAAAAUUUGGUAAGCUGCAUCAUUAUCACUCUCUGAUCAGAUUCUGAAUUAUUAAGAUUUAGAUGCAUAAAAGAACAUUUUUGAUCUUGUAAAUAUUGAAGAAACAAUACCAUAACUAGAACUGAAAUGCUUUAGUCUACCUAAUAGUAAAUCUUGUUUUCUAAUUUUGAGAUAUGUGUUAAAAUCUGGGAAAACAAAAAAAUAACUGAAGUAAUUGAACUGAGCAUAAUGUUGCAGUUUUGAUAUAAGCUUUUCUAUUUAUAACUGCCUAAUUUAACUAGAGUGUUUUCUGUCCUAGCCUGAAUUUAUGGCAUUUUAAAAAUUCAGCUGCAUAAGCAUGAAGACACAUGCCAUUUACUAGUAUAAGAAUAACUGCCCCAUAUGAAAUUGAUUUUUGCCUUCUGCAAUAUAAUAAUUCCAAUAGCUAUACUGAGUACCUACC